rnacentral:rRNA from 1 species
AUUGAACGCUGGCGGCAGGCCUAACACAUGCAAGUCGAACGGUAACAGGAAGACGCUUGCUUCUUUGCUGACGAGUGGCGGACGGGUGAGUAAUGUCUGGGAAACUGCCUGAUGGAGGGGGAUAACUACUGGAAACGGUAGCUAAUACCGCGUAACGUCGCAAAACCAAAGAGGGGGACCUUCGGGCCUCUUGCCAUCGGAUGUGCCCAGAUGGGAUUAGCUAGUAGGUGGGGUAACGGCUCACCUAGGCGACGAUCCCUAGCUGGUCUGAGAGGAUGACCAGCCACACUGGAACUGAGACACGGUCCAGACUCCUACGGGAGGCAGCAGUGGGGAAUAUUGCACAAUGGGCGCAAGCCUGAUGCAGCCAUGCCGCGUGUAUGAAGAAGGCCUUCGGGUUGUAAGGUACUUUCAGCGGGGAGGAAGGGAGUAAAGUUAAUACCUUUGCUCAUUGACGUUACCCGCAGAAGAAGCACCGGCUAACUCCGUG